rnacentral:rRNA from 1 species
ACGCUGGCGGCGUGGAUAAGGCAUGCAAGUCGAACGAUGCAUUUCGGUGCAUAGUGGCAGAAGGGUUAGUAACGCGUGGGUAAUCUACCCUCGGGUUUGGGAUAACCUCGCGAAAGCGAGGCUAAUACCAAAUAACAUUUUGGUCUCGCAUGGGACUAAAAUCAAAGAUGGCUCGCAAGGGCUGUCACCUGAAGAUGAGCCCGCGUCCUAUCAGCUAGUUGGUGAGGUAACGGCUCACCAAGGCUUUUGACGGGUAGCUGGUCUAAGAGGACGAUCAGCAACACUGGGACUGAGACACUGCCCAGACUCCUACGGGAGGCUGCAGUCGAGGAUCUUUAUCAAUGCCCGAAAGGGUGAAUAUGCGACGCCGCGUGUAGGAUGACGGCCUUCGGGUUGUAAACUACUGUCAGAGGUGAGGAAAGCUUAUGUAUUAAUACCACAUAAGUUUGACGUAAACCUCAGAGGAAGCCAUGGCUAACUCUGUGCCAGCAGCCGCGGUAAUACAGAGAUGGCAAGCGUUGUUCGGAUUUAUUGGGUGUAAAGGGUAGGUAGGCGGCUAAGCAAGUCUGUUGUGAAAUCUCAGGGCUCAACUCUGGAACUGCAAUGGAAACUCCACGACUUGAAUACCGGAGAGGUAAGGGGAAUUCUCGGUGUAAGGGUGAAAUCUGUAGAUAUCGAGAGGAACACCAGUGGCGAAGGCGCCUUACUGGCCGGUUAUUGACACUGAACUGCGAAAGCAAGGGGAGCAAACAGGAUUAGAUACCCUGGUAGUCCUUGCCGUAAACGAUGUGGAUUAGGUGUUAGAGGUGUCGAUCCUUUCAGUGCCGACGAUAACUCAUUAAAUCCACCACCUGGGGAGUACGGUCGCAAGACUGAAACUCAAAGGAAUUGACGGGGACCCGCACAAGCGGUGGAGCAUGUGGUUUAAUUCGAGGCUACGCGAGGAACCUUACCUGGGCUUGACAUGAUAACAGUAACCCUGGUGAAAAUCGGGGUGACCGUAUCCAAUCGGAGGUUAACACAGGUGCUGCAUGGCUGUCGUCAGCUCGUGCUGUGAAGUGUUGGGUUAAGUCCCGCAACGAGCGCAACCACUGCCCUUAGUUGCCAUCGGGUAAUGCCGGGAACUCUAAGGGGACUGCCAGUGAUAAACUGGAGGAAGGUGGAGAUGAUGUCAAGUCAGCAUGGCCCUUACGCCCAGGGCUACACACGUGCUACAAUGGCUAGUACAAUGGGCAGCGAACCCGCGAGGGGGAGCAAAUCCCAAAAAGCUAGCCUCAGUUCGGAUUGCAGGCUGCAAUUCGCCUGCAUGAAGUUGGAAUCGCUAGUAAUGGCACAUCAGAUAUGGUGCCGUGAAUACGUUCCCGGGUCUUGUACACACCGCCCGUCAAGCCACCUGAAUCAGUAGUACCCGAAAUCGUUGAUCUAACCCGCAAGGGAUGAAGACGCUGAAGGUAAAACUGGUGAGGAGGGCUAAGUCGUAACAAGGUAAC